AGUGAACGCUGGCGGUAGGCCUAACACAUGCAAGUCGAACGGCAGCACAGUAAGAGCUUGCUCUUACGGGUGGCGAGUGGCGGACGGGUGGGGAAUACAUCGGAAUCUACUUUUUCGUGGGGGAUAACGUAGGGAAACUUACGCUAAUACCGCAUACGACCUACGGGUGAAAGCAGGGGAUCUUCGGACCUUGCGCGAUUGAAUGAGCCGAUGUCGGAUUAGCUAGUUGGCGGGGUAAAGGCCCACCAAGGCGACGAUCCGUAGCUGGUCUGAGAGGAUGAUCAGCCACACUGGAACUGAGACACGGUCCAGACUCCUACGGGAGGCAGCAGUGGGGAAUAUUGGACAAUGGGCGCAAGCCUGAUCCAGCAAUACCGCGUGGGUGAAGAAGGCCUUCGGGUUGUAAAGCCCUUUUGUUGGGAAAGAAAAGCAGCAGGUUAAUACCCCGCUGUUCUGACGGUACCCAAAGAAUAAGCACCGGCUAACUUCGUG
rnacentral:rRNA from 1 species